AAUCUAUGAUGCAAGUAAGUCUUGUUUUUGAAGGCGACCUACAAUCGAAUUGAUGUAUUUUUCCAAUCGACCGGUCGAUUUCGUAUAUUUCGAUUACCUACCCAGUAGAGAUAUUAUUCCGCACACAAUCCAUACGAUUAUGCACAUUCCAACCGAACCGGCAUGGUUUAGAGCUGAUGCGGACGAUACAAAAAUUCCCGAUCCGAUUAUAACUCCCAAAAUCAUGUUGACAGCGGAGAAGAGUCCCAUCUCUCUCUUGAGUUGGACCGCCUUGGCACCGUUUCCAUUCUCCGUGGGACCAUUUUGGUCACCUGAAACCAAAAAAUAAUAAAAUCCUCCAUGUAAUUUUUAAAAUGGGAUCGUUGGCAAAUUUUUGAUUAUAAUAAAUUGCAUAAAUGUUA